rnacentral:lncRNA from 1 species
CCUGUGGCGGCCCGGCACCCCGCAGGCUUCUGCCCCCUCGGAGCCGGGCCCCCACCCCAGGGCUGCUCGGGGCUCGGCUCAGGGCUGUGUGGUGUGGCCUAGCCUGAUGCAGGGUGCGGCUCCCGCGGGAGGAGCAGCCCUGGGAACCCGGCGAGGGCCUGGGCCGGGGGACGAGGGAGUGGAGGGUGGGCCUGGGCUUGCGCCCACUGGACGGACACACGAUGCAGCCUGCGGGUGGCCGCUGUCUUGUGGGCAGUGGAGGACAGUGGCCAGCCCAGGCCUGGGUGGGGCUGCCGAGAGGCGUGGAGUUUGCCCUGAGCUGAACCGGCCAUGGCCUGGGCGGGGCAGAGAUGGGAUGCGGCCCCCAGAGGCUGGGGCCCUGGGUAACAGCAGCACCUUUGCUCCUGCAGCCCCUGCCCCCGCCCGGGCCCCGCUGGGUGCGGCUCUGGGCCUCAGUGGCCUCGGCCCGGGACUGCUCCCACUCUUCCCCGGGGGCGGGGAGAGCCCACUGCCCGCAGCGACCCUGGCCUUCCGUCCACCCACUGGGGGCUGGGGGCCAGGGCUUUGCCCUUGAGGGGCUUCCAGCUUCUGCCACAGUUUCACAGAAUACACCAAGGUGUCAGGGACCACCACAGGGAGGGGACAGCCAGGCUGGGGGCUCUGGGCCCUCCACCCCAGCCCUGCUCAGCCCUGCUCAGCCCUGCUCAGCCCUGCUCAGCCCUGCGUGCUUGGAGGUGUUGCACCCGCGAGGCAAGGGCAAAGCCCCUGAGCGGAACCGUCUUACCCUGCCCGGGACCUCUGCACCGGCUGUUCUCCCUGCGCUGAGCUGCUGUGUGCCGAGUCGGGGCACAGGGGUGGCUGCUGGCACAAGACCUGCACGCGGGAAGCUUCGUCCUGGGUCAGCCAUGCUGCACGGCGUGGCUCGAGACAUUCCGCUCCCUCUCUGUGCGGUGGGCUCAUGGCACCCAGGAAACAUGGAUGGAUGUGCCUGCCACCCGCUCCACGUGCUCUCCCUGGUCCUCCGGCUGCAGCUGACCUGGCUCCUCCUGAGGACCCCUAACCCCGCCCCGCCCCAGCCAAUCUGCUCUGCCUCUCCCCUUCCCCUCCAGUGUCACCCUGCUUCCCGCUGCACCCUUCCCCCGCCCUGCCUCAGUCUUCCACACAGGCUGUCCUGGGUGCCUACGGCCACCACCCUGGCCUCUCAGCCCUCCCCGGGGUCCUUCAUGGCACACCCAGACCCCACAGCAUCUUGCACUCUGCAGCUGUGAGCCCCCCCCCCCCGCUCCCCCGCCCCCAGCCAUGUCCUGGCCCUGCCUCAAGAAGCCUGCUGUCUGUUCCCUGCUCCUGCCUCUCCCAGGUUGGCCGGCCAAAGAGUCCUCAACUCCCCCACUCCUGGCCUUCUGGGCGAAGCCGGCAUGGGGGGGGUGGGGACGGGAAGC